UAGGGAAUAUUGCUUAAUUGGCGAAAGCCUGAAGCAGCAACGCCGCGUGGACGAAGAAGGCCUUCGGGUUGUAAAGUUCUUUUAUAUGGGAUGAGGAAGGACAGUACCAUAUGAAUAAGUCUCGGCUAACUACGUGCCAGCAGCCGCGGUAAAACGUAGGAGACGAGCGUUAUCCGGAUUUACUGGGCGUAAAGAGCGUGUAGGAGGCAAUACAAGUUGGAUGUAAAAGCUCUCGGCUAAACUGAGAGAGGACGUGCAAGACUGUAGAGCUAGAGGAAGGCAGAGGUAGAUGGUCCUCCGGGAGUAGUGGUGAAAUGCGUAGAUAUCCGGAAGAACACCAGAGGUGAAAGCGAUCUACUGGGCCUUAACAGACACUGAGACGCGAAAUCCAGGGUAGCUAACU
rnacentral:rRNA from 1 species